AAAUGUUGUGGAAUGUUAGCCUGGUUGACACCAGACCCUUCUCAGUUGUAACUGAGAGUGGGUCUGGGGAAGGUUCAUUGACAGCCCAUUUCCAAAGGGCGUCAUCUCUGAGCACAAUUGGAUAGUCCUUCAACCAAUCCGACUAACGAUCCAGGUGACGUAGCAGCGACAGCGGCAUCAACGGGUUGCUGCGCUUC